CAGGGAUCAAACUCAGGACCUUGCGCUUGCGAGGCAGGCGUGGGCACCACUGAGCUGAAUCCCCAGCCCCAAGGAAUUUUUCAAGAUAUUAAUGUUGAGGCAAGCCAAGUCACCCCAGCAGCCGAGCAUCGGAUGAAGUUUUAAAACUGCCACGUGCUGCUCAAAUGGAGUAGAGGAGACUUCAGAACACUUCACUUCAGAACAGACUUCUUUUUCCUAAGAAGACUCACCGGAGUGGCUACUUUUUAUCAGGAAUGAUUGAGGGCAUUUACCAAUCAGACAGUCAUGGAGUUCAUCAUGACAAGGUACCAGCCAGUAUGACAAAAGGAAGAGGUCCCCACUUGCCAUGGGCCUCAUCAGAUCCAGGUCUAGCCCCAAUCUUCACCCCUGGUCAGCAUGAAGCAGCUCCAGAAGAAGAGACCUUUGCCCAACUGUCAUAAAACAAAAGCCUGGAAUGAUAGGUCUCCCACUACCUCAGCAGCUAUUAUGUAUAGUAGCUGCCCUCUUCCUAUGGUGCCUUGCCCUCCCCUGUGUGACAUCAUGCCAAGAUGGCUGCUCCCACCAAAGAAUAAACCCUUCUUCCCAGCAUGCCCGUUCCCACCUAGAAAGUAACCUAAUACUCGCUCACCUCCUACCACCUAGUGACAUCAUGGGCUCCUCCAUUCCCUAGUCACUACCUCACUCAACCCCACCUCAGCCCCUACAAGCCCCACCCCAGUCUCUAUAAAAGACUCUCCCUGCCCCAGCCAUGCUGCUUUUGUCUCUUCUUUGUUCAGAGACAGCCUGGCAGAUCUAUUCCCC
rnacentral:lncRNA from 1 species